UGGGGAAUAUUGGGCAAUGGGGGCAACCCUGACCCAGCAACGCCGCGUGAAGGAAGAAGGCUUUCGGGUUGUAAACUUCUUUGACGAGGGACGAAAAAAAUGACGGUACCUCGAAAACAAGCCACGGCUAACUACGUGCCAGCAGCCGCGGUAAUACGUAGGUGGCAAGCGUUGUCCGGAUUUACUGGGUGUAAAGGGCGCGUAGGCGGGACUGCAAGUCAGAUGUGAAAUGCGGAGGCUCAACCUCUGAGCUGCAUUUGAAACUGUAGUUCUUGAGUAUCGGAGAGGCAGGCGGAAUUCCUAGUGUAGCGGUGAAAUGCGUAGAUAUUAGGAGGAACACCAGUGGCGAAGGCGGCCUGCUGGACGACAACUGACGCUGAGGCGCGAAAGCGUGGGGAGCAAACAGG
rnacentral:rRNA from 1 species